rnacentral:rRNA from 1 species
UUAUUUUGUUAGGAGGAAGGAGGGGACGACGUCAAGUCAUCAUGAUGCUUAUAUCCAGGGCUACACACAUCCUACAAUGGGCUAUAACAGAGGGUUGCAAGACCGCAAGGUGGAGCUAAUCCCUAAACUAGCCCUCAGUUGGGAUUGCAGGCUGAAACUCGCCUGCAUGAACCCGGAAUUGGUAGUAAUCGCACAUCAGCAGCGUGCGGUGAAUACGUUCUCGCCUCUU